CAAUAGCGUAUAUUAAAGUUGUUGCAGUUAAAAAGCUCGUAGUUGGAUUUCUGGUAGGAGCGACCGUGCCGAACUUGAUUGUUCGAGUAUUGUGUUGUCUUCAGCCAUCCUCGUGGAGAACUUUUCUAACAUUAACUUGUUGGGAUUGGGACCCGCGUCGUUUACUGUGAAAAAAUUAGAGUGUUUAAAGCAGGCAUUAGCUUGAAUACAUUAGCAUGGAAUAAUAAGAUAGGACUUUGGUACUAUUUUGUUGGUUUGCAUACCAAAUUAAUGAUCAACAGGAACAGUUUGAGGAUAUUCGUAUGAACAUGUCAGAGGUGAAAUUCUUGGAUUUUGAUCAGACGAACUACUGCGAAAGCAUUUAGCAAGGAUGUUUUCAUUAA
rnacentral:rRNA from 1 species